GAUGAAGAACGCAGCGAAAUGCGAUAAGUAAUGUGAAUUGCAGAAUUCAGUGAAUCAUCGAAUCUUUGAACGCACAUUGCGCCCGCCAGUAUUCUGGCGGGCAUGCCUGUUCGAGCGUCAUUACAACCCUCAGGCCCCCGGGCCUGGCGUUGGGGAUCGGCGGAAGCCCCCUGUGGGCACACGCCGUUCCUCAAAUACAGUGGCGGUCCCGCCGCAGCUUCCAUUGCGUAGUAGCUAACACCUCGCAACUGGAGAGCGGCGCGGCCAUGCCGUAAAACACCCAACUUCUGAAUGUUGACCUCGAAUCAGGUAGGAAUACCCGCUGAACUUAAGCAUAUCAAUAAGCGGAGGA
rnacentral:misc_RNA from 1 species